GUGUGUGUGCGUAAAGCGCGCUCCCGCUGUCACGUAAGUAAAGCUGCAUUGCUGCAAAUGAGGAACUCAAGUGGAUCUGUGUGCACGUGGUGGCGUCAGAGCGUUCAAUCGAUAGAACGAUGAGGUGGUGAGGGCUGCUUCCCAUCACAAACACCCUGAACGAUUGACAGAGCAUCGUGAAGCUGGAGGCAAACCACUGCAACACCAUCUGUAUCCGAGAAGCAGAGACAACUCAGAGACAUGGGUGAAGAGGCUUUAAGAAAAAGCCUGACGUGCUGUGCCGGCUUCAGGGCCGAUGGGAAGACCAGCCAGGGCUUUGGAUGAGUUGGGCUGACAGAGGGCCAACCCCAGUACUUACCCAACAUCCGGCUUGUCUUCCCCCAUCUCCCUCUCUGCUUAACCCCCCCUGGAUCCACAUCCCGUCGCAGAAUCACAGAUGAACAGCAGCUGAUGGGAGCUGACAACCCGUCUGACUUCCUGCUCGACCAACUGCCUGUGGAUAUGCUAAACGUACUGACUUUAACAUUUUGUUGUUGAGGUCAGGGGUCAUAGGAAAGCUCACAAUAUGUGACUGCUGGAGCAAGAAGGCAGGAAGGAAAGGAGACGCACAAUGAACACUUACAUAAUUCAACCAAUCAUCACUUUUUUAACUUAUAGUCGACAGAUACACAGCCCACUAUUUUCAGUAAAUGCUGAUGUACAGAUCUGUCUU